rnacentral:lncRNA from 1 species
CCCCUGUAGUUAAGAUAUUCUCCCCCCGCCCCAGCCCUCCGAGACCGCGAGAGCCCCGAGGGUGGGAGAUCCGGGGGAAUGUCUCCACCCUGCCCUGGCCCGCUACGUCCAUCUGUCCGUCUGUCCACUCCCGCCUCUUCCCACCAUCUCCAAUCCCCCCAUUCUCCGGAGGGCGGGCGGGCAGGCGGGUGCGAGCGGGGGGUGUGCGCCGCUCUCUCGGCAGGGGGCGGGGGAGGCGGCCGCGCGGUGACGCGCGGGGCUGCUGCGGCUGCUCCGCCGGCGGAUCAUCACUCUCGGGCUGGGAUGGACGCGGGGCGGGCGGGCCCUGGCGCGCGGAGCCAGGAGUCCGGGCCUCCCGGCUGCUGAGCGUCCUUCGAAGCCUCCCCUCACCCCCGCCUUCCCUCCUAGGAUCCGCGCUGACCCCCGCCCCGGGGCUCUGGACUCGGCUCCCGCCCUCUUCUGACUCCCCGGACCUCCCCCUCCCGCCCGCCCUCGGGAUCGACUAGAUCCCUCCCCCUCCCCGAGGAUUCCGGCUGGAUCCCUGCCCCUGCACCGCGGAUCCUGCGCUCCCGGGCCCCGGGCCCCUGGGGAUUAACGUGGACUCCUCCUCCAGCACCCGAUCCUUAGGAUCCUCCGCCUGGACCGCCUUCUGGUCCCUCGAAGCCGGCCCACGGAACCAGCGGAUCCUCAAUCUAGUCCUGUCCCGUUGCCCCCUCCUUUCUCUAACGUCCCUACUGCGGGGUUCCCUGUUCUCGGGCUCCCCCUGAUCCCAUCCCCUAGCUCUCCUUUUUCCGGGGAUCGACUGGAUCCCGGCCCCGCCCCCCGGGGCUGGGGCGAUCCCCCUCCCCCGCCGGGUGAGGCGUUGCGGGCGGGGGCUGGGCCUGCGGGGCCGCGGGGGCUCAGAGGCCGCCACCCCCUCCCGAAGGCCUUUCGCCCCCCACUCGGAGCCCUGGAUGGAGGCACCACGGCCCCAGGGCUGAGCCAGGGAGGUGGGAGCUGGGACUCCUGAGUCCCUGAGGAGAACCUGCCUGGGAGGGAUACAUCAGCUGGAAGGGAGCAUGCUGGGUCUGGAGAGCUGACCCGCCUCUCCUCUGGCUGGGUCCUGGACUUGAACCACAUCUGGGCCCCACCCCCAACCUAGGCGUCUGCUGAGGGGAGAAGGGCUGCUAGGUGG